GCUACCUGUGACAAGAUGGCCGCCAGGUGCAGACGUCGACCUCCAUUGGCCAGCAGCGUGAACGACAUCAUAGACAUCUAUGGAACGACAUAUCCAGCUGCCUGGAGGCGUUGCCAAGAUGGCGGUCGAGUGGCAUGACAGGACUGAGUGCGUCCCUCCCGUAGGUGCGUCCAUCUCAGCGCCGGCCAGCGCGCAAAACACAGGGCCAGCCAAGAAGACUGAUCACACCGGUGAGAUCGUACGCGUGUAAGGGUUAAGGCUAUUGACUACAGCCAACCAUGACGGAAUGCAGAACCCAAAGACAAAAAUGGCUGAAGAUCACCUCCUCUCCCUCUGUCAAGAACUUGCCUCCCUGGCUCUCUGAACCUGUAUUGCCGGUACCCCCCUUGAAGCUUUCUCUUCUGCACUUUUCCAGCCUCCAUGGCACCAUUUGGCAUGGUAAAUGAUAACUGAAUGAUAAAAAUGUCCAUAUCAACUGUCCUACCCACAACCUAUAAACACGCUUGCCAAAGCCACAUAGUUUACCAUGAUCAUGUUGAUAU